rnacentral:rRNA from 1 species
ACUUGCCUUUGCGAGGGGGAUAACAGUUGGAAACGACUGCUAAUACCGCAUAAUGUCUACGGACCAAACAGGGCUUCGGCUCUGGCGCAAAGAGAGGCCCAAGUGAGAUUAGCUAGUUGGUGAGGUAAAGGCUCACCAAGGCAACGAUCUCUAGCUGUUCUGAGAGGAAGAUCAGCCACACUGGGACUGAGACACGGCCCAGACUCCUACGGGAGGCAGCAGUGGGGAAUAUUGCACAAUGGGGGAAACCCUGAUGCAGCCAUGCCGCGUGUGUGAAGAAGGCCUUCGGGUUGUAAAGCACUUUCAGUUGUGAGGAAAAGUUAGUAGUUAAUACCUGCUAGCCGUGACGUUAACAACAGAAGAAGCACCGGCUAACUCCGUGCCAGCAGCCGCGGUAAUACGGAGGGUGCGAGCGUUAAUCGGAAUUACUGGGCGUAAAGCGCACGCAGGCGGUUUGUUAAGCUAGAUGUGAAAGCCCCGGGCUCAACCUGGGACGGUCAUUUAGAACUGGCAGACUAGAGUCUUGGAGAGGGGAGUGGAAUUCCAGGUGUAGCGGUGAAAUGCGUAGAUAUCUGGAGGAACAUCAGUGGCGAAGGCGACUCCCUGGCCAAAGACUGACGCUCAUGUGCGAAAGUGUGGGUAGCGAACAG